AAAAAACUGAAAAGGAAAGGACAGUUAGCCCUGUGAUGAAAGAUUCUACUCUGUUAGCAAUCUUAUGACAUGGCACUACUAAAUAUGCUUCCUGUGACAAACAGUGGGAACCAUAUUCAGGAAGCAAGGUGCGAUCUGUUAGGAGCUAUUGGCUGGAUUCCACUUCGCUGUGCUUCAUUUGCUAUGGAAGUGACCUCAAGUUGUGAAUAAGCAGUGAAUAAGCUGAAUUGACAAUCACCUUUUUUGCAGACCAUAUGAUUCUAAAGAUUUCUCAAUAUAUUCUUGGUAUUCUCCUGAUGUUACUAACUGCAGUCAUUACCAUUAAAUCUGAACCAAUGGCCCUUUACUGCCAGAA